GAUGAACGCUGGCGGCGUGCCUAAUACAUGCAAGUCGAGCGAACAGACGAGGAGCUUGCUCCUCUGACGUUAGCGGCGGACGGGUGAGUAACACGUGGAUAACCUACCUAUAAGACUGGGAUAACUUCGGGAAACCGGAGCUAAUACCGGAUAAUAUAUUGAACCGCAUGGUUCAAUAGUGAAAGACGGUUUUGCUGUCACUUAUAGAUGGAUCCGCGCCGCAUUAGCUAGUUGGUAAGGUAACGGCUUACCAAGGCAACGAUGCGUAGCCGACCUGAGAGGGUGAUCGGCCACACUGGAACUGAGACACCGGCCAGACUCCUUCGGGAGGCAGCAGUAGGGAAUCUUCCGCGAUGGGCGAAAGCUUGACGGAGCAACGCCGCGUGAGUGAUGAAGGUCUUCGGAUCGUAAAACUCUGUUAUUAGGGAAGAACAAAUGUGUAAGUAACUAUGCACGUCUUGACGGUACCUAAUCAGAAAGCCACGGCUAACUACGUG
rnacentral:rRNA from 1 species